rnacentral:rRNA from 1 species
AGAGUACACCUAGAGAAUUUUUUUUAAAUUAAGCUAAUGAAUUUUACUUUUUAGUAAGAAGGCUAAAAUUGUUCUUUUAGACGAGAAGACCCUAUAAAACUUUAUACUUUCUUAAUUCUUAGGAAAUUAAGAAAGUAUUUCACUGGGGUGGUGGAGGAGUUAAACGUCCUUUAAGAAAUAUGACUGACACGUUUGUAUCUAGAAAUUCUAAAAAAGAAAUAAGUUACUUUAGGGAUAACAGCUUCAUUCACUUAGAAAGAUCUAAUUGACAAGUGAGUUUAUGACCUCGAUGUUGAAUUAAAAGUCCUUUUUUAUGCAAUAGUUUCAAAAGGAGGUCUGUUCGACCUUUAAAUUUUUCCA